GUGCGUUUAGAAAGAAACGGCGAUCAUGUGGAGGAUGUUUUGAUAAGAAGUGUUCCUUUCACCCACGUACGGAGACUUUUGGGACACGCUGUAGUUACAUUUAGUCCCAUGGAACUUCUGCUGAAGAAGUUAGUUCCUGUUCUCACGUUACAGCAGCUAUAAACCGUCGCUCCCUCACUAGCCUCUCUUUCUUUCUCUCCAAGGGAAUAAGAGAAAACGAGCCGGUUGGUCACGUCUCUGAGGCUCGAGACUCCUUCGCCGUAUGAGCGAUCACACGUAUAUAACGUAUUACGGUGAGUUUGUGACGUGCAGAUGGAACUGUUGUCAGAGAUGCAGUUAUAGAAAAUGAAUCAACAACAUCUGACCAAUCUAAAUCCAGCAGGGCUGUGGAAUAAACGUGUCCGUGUGCGUGCGUGCGUGCGUGUCCGUCCGUGUUUGGGGGCACAGAUUCAUGGAUUCAUAAAAGUCUGUUAUCGUCAGCUUGUCUUAAAGACUUCCUGUUCACUACAUUCGCUCACUACAUAGGGUGCAAUAUAACGAUAAUGUAAAGCCUAUACGUCUAGACAGAUAAAUAGAUAAACAGUCAGACAGAGAGAUAGAUAGAUAGACAGACAGACGGAUAGAUAGACAGAGAGACAGAUUAGAUAGAUAGACAGAUUGAUAGAUAAACCGUCAGACAGAUAGAUAGACAGACAGACGGAUAGAUAGACAGACAGAGACAGAUUAGAUAGAUAGACAGAUUGAUAGAUAAACCGUCAGACAGAUAGAUAGACAGACAGACGGAUAGAUAAAAUGACGGACAGACGGAUAGAUAGAUAGACAGACACAAAUAGACAGACAAAUAGAUUGAUAGAAAAACCAUCAGACAGAUAGACAGACAGACGGAUAGAUAAAAUGACGGACAGACGGAUAGAUAGAUAGACAGACACAAAUAGACAGACAGAUAGAUUGAUAGAAAAACCAUCAGACAGAUAGACAGACAGACGGA